CAUAGUGGGGCUAGAAUGAGAAUUACCCAAAGAUUACUCCUUAUUAUUGGUUUGGGUCUUCGAGAAAGGUGGGAAAUUCUUUGGGUUAAUGUAACCCAUAUUAACUAAAAGAAGAAUUGGAGAAAAGACAAAGGGGCCCACACUUGCCUUCUUUUGAAAACCAUUAACUUCAACAGACCAGGGGGCCCUUAUGAGUAGUCCACUAAGCCCUUGAAUGCGGAGCCCAACAGAAUGCGUAGCUGCUGCCUUUGAAGAAAUAGUGUCCUUCUUGAAAGAGACAUUAGCGUUUAGGUUUACUAGGCCCAAAACUCCAUCAGUUUUAUCCUCUCCAGGCCACAGUCCAUAACAUCAUCUCCAGCAGGUAGCGCUGAAGCAUG
rnacentral:lncRNA from 1 species